rnacentral:rRNA from 1 species
ACGGAAGGCAGCAGUGGGGAAUAUUGGGCAAUGGGCGCAAGCCUGACCCAGCGACGCCGCGUGGGGGAAGAAGGUCUUCGGAUUGUAAACCUCUUUCAGCAGGGAAGAAGCAAGUGACGGUACCUGCAGAAGAAGUCACGGCUAACUACGUGCCAGCAGCCGCGGUAAUACGUAGGUGGCGAGCGUUAUCCGGAAUUACUGGGUGUAAAGGGUGUGCAGGCGGAGAAGCAAGUCAGGCGUGAAAUUUUUGGGCUCAACCCGGAAACCGCGCUUGAAACUGUUUCCCUUGAGAGUGGGAGAGGUAAACGGAAUUCCUGGUGGAGUAGUGAAAUGCGUAGAUAUCAGGAGGAACACCGGUGGCGAAGGCGGUUUACUGGACCACAACUGACGCUGAGACACGAAAGCGUGGGGAGCAAACAGGAUUAGAUACCCUGGUA